CCUUCUUCAAACUCGAACCUAUGCCGCCAUCUAAGGGCGUGAUCCCCCCAAUGCAUACACCACAUUUGCAUCAACGGUCAGUUGUGGAGGGACCUUGGCACACAAGCACUCGGAUGGCCCCACAAAGAAGUGAAGAACAAAGUCCCGCCGUUGAGGACACAUUGUUGUUGUUUGGCACUAGAAUCACCAUUGCCUUCUUCAUCAACAACAUGGCGAGUUCCAUCAAUGUUGUCAUUGUGCUUGGGCAGAGGACGACAACACAAGAGGGAGGCCUCGUGUUCAUAUUCUAGAAGAGAGGGUGCUCAAGUGUCA
rnacentral:lncRNA from 1 species